rnacentral:rRNA from 1 species
CCUACGGGAGGCAGCAGUGGGGAAUAUUGCGCAAUGGGCGAAAGCCUGAUGCAGCGACGCCGCGUGAGUGAUGAAGGUCUUCGGAUCGUAAACCUCUGUCAGCAGGGAAGAACGGUCACUGUGCUAAUCAGCAGUGAAUUGACGGUACCUGCAAAGGAAGCACCGGCUAACUCCGUGCCAGCAGCCGCGGUAAUACGGAGGGUGCGAGCGUUAAUCGGAAUUACUGGGCGUAAAGCGCUCGUAGGCGGUAUGUCAAGUCAAGGGUGAAAUCCCCGGGCUGAACGUGGGAACUGCCUUUGAAACUGGCAAACUGGAGUGUGUGAGAGGAUAGUGGAAUUACAGGUGUAGGAGUGAAAUCCGUAGAUAUCUGGAGGAACAUCAGUGGCGAAGGCGACUAUCUGGCACAUAACUGACGCUGAGGAGCGAAAGCGUGGGUAGCAAACAGGAUUAGAUACCCCAGUAGUC